rnacentral:rRNA from 1 species
GAGUUUGAUCUUGGCUCAGAUUGAACGCUGGUGGCAGGCCUAACACAUGCAAGUCGAGCGGUAGAGAGAAGCUUGCUUCUCUUGAGAGCGGCGGACGGGUGAGUAAUGCCUAGGAAUCUGCCUGGUAGUGGGGGAUAACGCUCGGAAACGGACGCUAAUACCGCAUACGUCCUACGGGAGAAAGCAGGGGACCUUCGGGCCUUGCGCUAUCAGAUGAGCCUAGGUCGGAUUAGCUAGUUGGUGAGGUAAUGGCUCACCAAGGCGACGAUCCGUAACUGGUCUGAGAGGAUGAUCAGUCACACUGGAACUGAGACACGGUCCAGACUCCUACGGGAGGCAGCAGUGGGGAAUAUUGGACAAUGGGCGAAAGCCUGAUCCAGCCAUGCCGCGUGUGUGAAGAAGGUCUUCGGAUUGUAAAGCACUUUAAGUUGGGAGGAAGGGCAGUAAAUUAAUACUUUGCUGUUUUGACGUUACCGACAGAAUAAGCACCGGCUAACUCUGUGCCAGCCGCC